UACGUAGGGUGCGAGCGUUAAUCGGAAUUACUGGGCGUAAAGCGUGCGCAGGCGGCGCGUAAGACAGGUGUGAAAGCCCCCGAGCUUAACUUGGGGAAUUGCGCUUGUGACUGGCGUGCUGGAGUGUGGCAGAGGGAGGUGGAAUUCCACGUGUAGCAGUGAAAAUGCGUAGAGAUGUGGAGGAACACCGAUGGCGAAGGCAGCCCCCUGGGUCAAGAUUGACGCUCAUGCACGAAAGCGUGGGGAGCAAACAGG
rnacentral:rRNA from 1 species